AUGGGCGCCGGCUUGUAUGGCUACGUCGACAAACCCAUAGAGGAGCCUCCCAAGACAAUCAUCGCAAAGGAUAAAGAUGGCAAGGAUCGGGAGAUGUCGAACCCUGCCUAUGCCUCCUGGCUAGUCCAGGACCAGCAAAUUAUCGCCGACCUCCUUCAGAACCUCUUCAAGGAGGUCCUCGUUCAGGUGGCGUCGUUGGAGACGUCGCACGUGAUCUGGACUGCCCUCUCCUACAUGUUCGCGUCUGUCUCGCUUUCUCGAGUUAACAAUCUGUGUGUCGCCCGCACCAAUGCCCAGAAGGGCACGCAAUCUGCAUCAACCUACUUCGGCUACAUGAGUUCCCUCUCCGACGAGCUCACGGCGGCAGGCAAGCCGCUCGGGGAGCUGGAGCUCAUCUAGUUCAUCAUCGUCGGCCUUGACAUGGAGUAUGAGCCGCUCAUCUCCGCGCUAGACGUCCGGACCGAGCCCACCACGGUCGACCUCCUCUUCUCCCUGGUGGACAACUUCGAUCAGCGAGUCGAGUUGUACCACGGCAAUGGCAUCGGUGGCUUCAAGUCCUCGGCAAACGCCGCUUCUCGAGGUCGAUAG
rnacentral:rRNA from 1 species